CACCGGUGUGCUGACUGCAGCCAGAAGAGGCCUUGCAGGAUUACCCCUCGGAGAAAAACAGCAGGAGCAGCGUACCUGGCCCCAAAUGCUGUUGCUACUGCUGCUGCCCAUGACUUGGGCACCUCUGCCGGCACAUCUGCAGAGCCUGGUCGAGGAUGACAGAUGCAACCAAACAAAUUGGCAAAGAAAUCCAGAAGCAGGAGUGGCUGACGAGAAUGG